rnacentral:sRNA from 1 species
AACUAGCCCUGAUUGCAGUGGAUACCGAUUUUUCAUCGGUAGCAACGGAAAGCAGGAAAAUGG